GAUGAACGCUGGCGGCGUGCCUAAUACAUGCAAGUCGAGCGAACAGACGAGGAGCUUGCUCCUCUGACGUUAGCGGCGGACGGGUGAGUAACACGUGGAUAACCUACCUAUAAGACUGGGAUAACUUCGGGAAACCGGAGCUAAUACCGGAUAAUAUAUUGAACCGCAUGGUUCAUUAGUGAAAGACGGUUUUGCUGUCACUUAUAGAUGGAUCCGCGCCGCAUUAGUUAGUUGGUAAGGUAACGGCUUACCAAGGCAACGAUGCGUAGCCGACCUGAGAGGGUGAUCGGCCACACUGGAACUGAGACACGGUCCAGACUCCUACGGGAGGCAGCAGUAGGGAAUCUUCCGCAAUGGGCGAAAGCCUGACGGAGCAACGCCGCGUGAGUGAUGAAGGUCUUCGGAUCGUAAAACUCUGUUAUUAGGGAAGAACAAAUGUGUAAGUAACUAUGCACGUCUUGACGGUACCUAAUCAGAAAGCCACGGCUAACUACGUG
rnacentral:rRNA from 1 species